rnacentral:lncRNA from 1 species
UGUGCAUCAUAAAGGUAUCCAAUUACCUCAGCCGGAAAAAAAAUCCAGACAAUAACAGAUACAAUCCUAUGCUCUCUGUGCAGUGGUUCUUCCUGGGUGUACUUUGCUGUGAAUCCAGCCAGAGACGGAUUUUCAAACCUGAAAGCCAUUAGAAUCUGCGCUAAAAAUGCAGUGUUUCCCCCUGCCUGGUUUGCACCCAUGAAAUCAAUGAAAGCACACAGAAAUUAAUGAAAGAAACGUUGAAAUUCUCCCACCCCAGACUGCAUAUUUUGAUGCUUACUACCCACCCUUCCAUUUUCCUGGA